GCAUCGGUGGUUCAGUGGCAGAGUUCUUGCCUUCUGUGCAGGAGACCAGGGUUCGAUUCCCAGCCAGUGCA
rnacentral:tRNA from 1 species